GGUGAGUAACACGUAGGCAACCUGCCCGUAAUACCGGGAUAACUUGGGGAAACCGAGGCUAAGCCCGGAUAGGCUCCUUUUCCGCAUGGGAGAGGAGGGAAAGGGUGCGACCCGAUUACGGAGGGGCCUGCGGCGCAUUAGCUAGUUGGUGAGGUAACGGCCCACCAAGGCGAUGAUGCGUAGCCGACCUGAGAGGGUGACCGGCCACACUGGGACUGAGAGACGGCCCAGACUCCUACGGGAGGCAGCAGUAGGGAAUCUUCGGCAAUGGGCGAAAGCCUGACCGAGCAACGCCGCGUGAGUGAGGAAGGCCUUCGGGUUGUAAAACUCCUGUUGUUUGGGAAAGAAGGGAAAGGGUAGGCCCCUUAGGUGACGGUACCAAACGAGAAAGCCCCGGCUAACUACGUGCCAGCAGCCGCGGUAAUACGUAGGGGGCGAGCGUUGUCCGGAAUGAUUGGGCGUAAAGCGCGCGCAGGCGGUCCUUUAAGUCUGAUGUGAAAGCCCGCGGCUUAACCGCGGAAGGUCAUUGGAAACUGGGGGACUUGAGGCUAGGAGAGGGAAGUGGAAUUCCUGGUGUAGCGGUGAAAUGCGUAGAGAUCAGGAGGAAUACCGAUGGCGAAGGCAGCUUCCUGGCCUAGGGCUGACGCUGAGGCGCGAAAGCGUGGGGAGCAAACAGGAUUAGAUACCCUGGUAGUCCACGCCGUAAACGAUGAGUGCUAGGUGUGAGGGGUUUCAAGGCCCUUCGUGCCGCAGUACACACAAUAAGCACUCCGCCUGGGGAGUACGGUCGCAAGACUGAAACUCAAAGGAAUUGACGGGGGCCCGCACAAGCGGUGGAGCAUGUGGUUUAAUUCGAAGCAACGCGAAGAACCUUACCAGGGCUUGACAUCCCUCUGACGGGAGUAGAG
rnacentral:rRNA from 1 species